rnacentral:lncRNA from 1 species
UCCUAGCCAGAGCAAUCAAGGCAAGAGAGAGAAAUAGAAGAUAUCCAAAUAGGAAAAGAAGAAGUCAAAGUAUCUCUCUUCGCUGAUGAUAUGAUUCUAUACCUAGACAACCCUAAAGAUUCUACCAAAAGACUUCUAGAACUGAUAAAUGAUUUCAGCAAAGUUUCAGGAUACAAAAUAAAUGUAAAAAAAUCAAUAGCAUUUCUAUACACCAAUAAUGUUCAAACUGAGAACCAAAUCAAGAGCGCAAUCCCAUUUAUAGUAGCCACACACACAAAAAAAUACCUAGGAAUACAUCUAGCCAAGGAGGUGAAAGAUAUAUACAAGGAGAACUACUAAACACUGCUGUAAGAAAUCACAGGUGACACAAACAAAUGGAAAAACAUUCCGUGGUUAUGGAUUGGCAGAAUCAAUAUUGUUUAAAUGGCCAUACUGCAUAAAGCAAUCUGCAGAUUCAGUGCUAUUCAUAUCAAACUACCAGCAUCAUUUUUCACAGAAUUAGAAAAAAACUAUUCUAAAUUCAUUUCGAGCCAGAAAAGAGUCCAAACGGCCAGAGCAAAUCUAAGCAAAAAGAACAAAGCCAGAGGCAUCAUAUUAUCCAACUUCAAACUAUACUAUAAGGCUGCAGUAUCCAAAACAGCAUGAUACUAGUACAAAAGCAGGCACGUAGAUCAAUGGAACAGAAUAGAGAAUUUAGAAAUAAAGCCACACACCUACAGCUAUUUGAUCUUCAACUAAGUCGACAAAAAGAUGCAGUGGGGAAAGGACUUCCUGUUCAAUAAAUGGUGUUGGGAUAGCUGGCGAGCCAUAUGCAAAAGAAUAAAACUGGACCCGUACCUUUUACCAUAUACAAAAGUUAACUCAAAAUGGAUUAAAGAUUUAAAUGUAAGACCUCAAACUAUAAGAGGCCUAGAAGAGAACCUAGAAAACACCAUUCUGUACAUUGGCCUUGAGAAAGAAUUUUUGAGUAAGUCCUCAAAAGCAAUUGCAACAAAAACUAAAAUUGACGAAUGGGACCUAAUUAAACUAAAGAGCUUCUGCACAGCAAAAGAAGCUAUCAACAGAGUAAACAGAAAACCUAUGGAAUGGGAGAAAAUAUUUGUAAACUAUGCAUCCAGUAAAGGUCUAAUAUCCAGAAUCUAUAAGGAACUUAAAAAAUUCAACAAGCAAAAAACAAAUAACCCCAUUAGAAAGUGAGCAAAACAAUAAACAGACACUUCUCAAAAGAAGACAUAAAAGAGGCUAACAAACAUAUGAAAUAAUGCUCCACAUCCGUGAUCAUCAGAGAAAUGCAAAUCAAAACCACAGCGAGAUACCAUCUCACACCAGUCAGAAUGGCUGUUAUUAAAGAGUCAAAAAACAACAGAUGCUGGUGAGGAUGUGGAGAAAAGAGAACACUUAUAUGCUGUCAGUGGGAAUGUAAAUUAGUUCAGCCACUGUGGAAAGCAGUUUGGAGAUUUUUCAAAGAACUUAGAACUACCAUUCAACCCAGCAGUCCUAUUACUAGGUAUAUAUCCAAAAGGAAAGAUAUCAUUCUACCAAAAAGACACAUGCACUCAUAUGUUCAUCACAGUACUAUUCCUAAUAUCAAAGACAUGGCAUCAACCUUAGUGCCCAUCAGCAGUGGAUUGAAUAAAGCAGAUGUGGUACAUAUACACCAUGGAAUACUAUACAGCCAUUAAAAAGAAAAAAUCAUGUCCUUUGCUGCAACAUGGAUGCAGUUGGAGGCCAUUAUUCUAAGCAAAUUAAUACAAGGACAAACAAUCAAAUACCACAUGUCCUCACUUAUAAGUGGGAGCGAAACAAUGGGUACUUAUGGACAUAAAAGAUGGCAGCAAUAGACACUAGGGACUACUAGAGAGGGUAGGGAGAUGGGGGCAAAGGUUGAAAAACUACCUAUUAGGUACUAUGCACAGUAUACCCCAAACCUCAGCAUCAUGCAAUACAUCCAUGUAACAAACAUGCACAGGUACCCCCUAAAUCUAAAAUUUAAAAGUUAAAUUUUUUAAAAAGGGAAAAAUAAAACACAUAAUGGAAGUACCAUAAUGCUUCCUAUUGCCAACCUUUUGGUUUAUUUUCAUUUAUUAUUUUAAAUAGCACUCAGGGAAGACUCUUUGUGUAUGUUACUUUCUUUGUGAUAAUUUCCUGAAAAUUCAUUUCUAAGUAUAGGAUUUUGAAGUCAAAGUUAUAAAUACUUUGGGAGCUUUUAGUAUAUAUUGCUAGAUUGGUGAAUAUUUCCAAAAGAUUAUAUCAGCUCGUAUUGCCACAAGACAUAAGGGUACUGUUUUCCUCAGACCUUCAUCAGUAUGGGGCUAUGUUCAUUUCUUUUGACUUUUGAUACAUAGAUCAUAGGUUUAAACUCUUACUUCAUUGUUUUGAAUUUGCACUCCUUUGCAUAGUAACAAGGUUGAAUAUUCUCCAGAUGUUUUUAAGAGAAUUGCUUUUGUUGUUGCUAAGGCCCUUGGAAAAUGCAGUAUUGUUAGCAGCGUGGGUGUGUAUGCAGUGUGGAGAAAACAGGUGUGUGGCAAGUGUAGGAAGGGGUGGGUGUAUGGAGAGCUCAUGAGUGUGCUGCCAUGUGUGCUGUUUGGAGAAUGUGUAUGGCGUGUGUUUAUAGGGAGAGGUUUAGAGCAUGGAGCAGAAGAAAGUGGAGAAGUGGUUCUCAAUGAUGCCUGCACUAGAGCAGAUACAAGUUUGGAAAGUAGCUGCUUUUGGAAAGAGGGAUAUGAGGGAGAUGUUUUAUGUAGGAAAUUUUAUAAUGCACUGAAUUAUUAAGCUAUACCUAGGUAUACUUUUAAUUAAAACAAGAACUAAAAUGUAGUAGUGGCCAAGACGAUCUCAAAGGGCCUGCCAGUUACAAAGUUACCUAUUUUGGUAAGAUGGACUUGAGGAAGGGUAGUGUCAGCAGAAGGCGCUGGGCUGUGGGAGGACCCCCUCAGGGUGUGACAGUUCAGAACUAACGGCAUUAACACAACUCUUUUUUUUUUUUUUUUGAGACAGAGUUUCACUCUUGUCACCCAGGCUGGAGUGCAAUGGCGCGAUCUUGGCUCACUGCAACCUCUGCCUCCUGGGUUCAAGCGAUUCUCCUGCCUCAGUCUCCUGAGUAGCUGGGAUUACAGACAUGCACCACCACACCCAGCUAAUUUUUGUAUUUUUAAUAGAGAUGGGGUUUCGCCAUGUUGGUCAGUCUGGUCUUGAACUCCUGACCUCAAGUGAUCCACCUGCCUCGGCCUCCCAAAGUGCUGGUAUUACAGGCGUGAGCCACUGCAUCCAGCCAACACAGCUCUUUAGAACCAUGUAAAGAACUUUUAAAAGGCCCAAUGCCCUUAAAGGAUAAUCUUUUCAACAGUUGUUUGUACAACUGCUGGGAGAGGUGGUGAGUAGAGGAGAUUGCCUGGGAGCAUCCAAGGGAUCAUUGGGGUAAAGGAAAUAUUCUUAGAAAUGUAACAAAUUGAUGCCCACUUCACACUGUANNNNNNNNNNGGCCCGGACUUCCAGGCUAUAAUUAAAUCAACAUUUAAUGUGCUCCGAAUAUGCCUCAGUUUGCAGUCUUUUGUCCUUCUCCCUAGUGAUCACAUUCAUUAUUCUGUGUUCAACUACUGCCACUGCGGACACUCCUACAUAUUUUUUCCUCAGCAUAUACAGCAAUAGGAAUGAGUCUCAAAAACCUUCUGCUUAGUGAAAGAACCAAGGCCCUAAGAGCAAAUAACUGUGUGAGUCCAUGCAUGUGAAGUUCUAAAACAGGCAAACUGGGAGAGGUGGUGAGAUCACUGGAUGAGGCACUGACUUUUAAAAAGAAAAAAAAAAAAGCAAUUUCACUGAGAAUGUGGGGGGAGGCACUCUUGUGUGCNNNNNNNNNNNNNNNNNNNNNNNNNNNNNNNNNNNNNNNNNNNNNNNNNNNNNNNNNNNNNNNNNNNNNNNNNNNNNNNNNNNNNNNNNNNNNNNNNNNNNNNNNGCCUCGAUUUCCUCUUAUGUAAAGUGGUAAAAAUCAUUCUUACUAUGCAGCAUUAUUGUGUGACUGAAUUAAGGCAGUGUCCUAAGGUUCCUAGCAGAGUGCCUGAUAUAUAUAUAGUGGGUGAGUGAUAUUGCAGUUAUCAUAGGAUUAUAAUAUAUGUGGAAGCUCUAGCUCCCCAGAUGCCGUGGUCAAAUGCUUGCGGAAAGUUCUUGCUCCAGGUGAGGCCAGCUAGAAGCAGCCAGACCCAUAUCAGCUCUGUGGCUCCAGGCAUGGGCAGGAGUGCUGCUGCUGUGCCCAGAAUUAUCCAUGUGUGUACAAAGGCCAGUGGGAGCAUGGUAGGGAAAUGAGGUUUCCUUGUUAACGAAAGGCUUUGAGUGCCAGUUGUUUCCAUAGAAGAGGAGCCGAGAGAUCCCUGGGUUUCCCUC